AGUCAUAUAUGUGUUCUUCAUCUGGCAAUUAUUUCAUCCCUAGGACUCUUUAUAACAGCUGCACUAGGUGCGAUGAGUCUGUCAUCCCAUGAAGCGUGUUAAUAUGUUGGUAUUGUACUUCAAGGAUGCUCCUAGACUUGGCUCUGGGCCAGCUCUAGUGUCCAUGCAAACUGCAAGCGCAGGAUCUCAUUUGCAAGGUUGUCUGCGUAUCUGUGCGUGUCUAGUGGUUUAAUACGCUGGUAGUCAGUGGGGUGGUAUAACACACUGCUCAGUACAAUGGACAGGCUAUGUGGGGCUGCUCAUGUGCAUGAGGAGCAGACAGAGUGGGGACCACAGUGAGAUGCCAGCCAUAAAACCAAGAUCAUUCUCCGAAGUGCUGUGCAAAAGCAGGCUUUUGGCCAUACAGGCUUUCUAGUGAUGAUGCACAAGCAAUUGCACUUCUGUGCCAGGCUGGGCACUCUUGCCUUGUGCGUACUGGCUGCCGAGCAGGAGGGAAAUGCAAGGGCUGUAUGUGUGGUGGAGGAAUUAGCACUGCCAGUUUGGUUCCACUGCGCGUCAUUGACGGAUGUCAGACCUACUGGUGAUGUGCAGGACAGAACUGCUGAGGUGACAUGACGUUUACCACCCUUUACCUCCUUGUUUCUCCUGACACCAGCACUCCCAACGCAAUUCCCUUUAAGGUGAUUCACCCAGUGACCCUGAAGAGCUGAUUACUCAGUGGGAUGACAGGGAGUGAGGGAGCCUGAGGACAGGCAUUACUGGGGGCUGGCUUUGCAGCUUCUGCCAUCGCAGCUACCACUUUGUAAGGUCUGGGAUCUGGACUGGGGGAAACCCGGUGUCAGUAAGGAGCUAAAAGAAGGGGCAUCAUCCACACCCCCUGUGCCCCCCCCCACCUUUGCUGAAUUAAGGGUCCCAAGUCAAACCAGUUACCUCACUUAGAGCCCAGCACUUGUGUAUCUCUCCACGUGCUUACUGACAGCAGUACCAUACCCAGCUGAAAUGGUUGCCCCUCUACCCUGACACCUGAAAGUGCCAGCAGAGCUCUUAGCCCUUUUCUGCAUAGCAGAGCCUUUACAGAUCCUUUAAUCAGGUAUCGGACCAGCCCAACAUGCGUGUCCUGGUGCAAACAGCUAUCGCCCGUGGUAGCAGGAGUACGCGGGUAUUGCUACUCAGGGAGCAGAGGCUAUUGGGGUCUUUCCCUCAUCUCAGUCCCAGGACCUGAAGAAGACUUUCUUAAAGGCACCCCAUCCAUCACACUUGCUACAGCUGACACCCGAGUCAGUGAUACAGCACUGGCCUUGGAGAAGCAGCGCCGUGAUUUGUGCUGACAGGGCAGGAACAAGUACCUCCCAUGCUUCGUCCCUGAGCCAGGAUGCCUUUUGCAGAGGCACUGUAGCUUGUUCUAUGGAGACAGCUUGGCAGAGUGCAUUAAAGACGAGAGGCUGUGCUGCUGAGAAGCAGAAACAACGAGCUGCUAACUGGGCUGAGGAGAGAGCGUAGCAGGUGCUGGUAUCUUACCCUGGUCAUUGGUCCUACAGGUAUUGGCCAAAACUGCAAGGGAUGCUCUUGAACAUGGCCUGCUGUUUGACCGCUCUCACUUGUCAAUGAAAUGAGGUUUACCCUAUGGUGCUUCAGGUUGACUUAGAUUUGGUUUUUUUAAACAAAUGAAACUAGCAUAUGUUACUUGUGAGUUUAUGCUCAGUUUUUGUUUGGUUGGGGCUUUUUUGUUUGUUUGUAUUAUUUUGUUUUCUUUAAUAAGAAAGAAAUCGCUCAGAAGCCUGACUAAGCUUGCUCACAGGUGGUUACAUUUAGCUGUAAUCGGCCUGGUGAGUUGUAGGAGGAAAAUUGCACUAGUUUGAACUGGCUUUAGUAGCAAGGAUAUUUUAAUUUGGGGCAGCAGAGAGAAAAUUGUAUAACACUGUUGUGCUGUCCUGAGUAGGAGAAGCAGCCAGUGAAUUGCAUGAUUUUUCCAUCUUUGUAAUCAGUUUGUUAUGCAGAGAGCAAUGCCGUGGGAUUCAGCAUUUUAUCUGCUGGGUUUCCCCUGGCAGCAUCUGAAGAAGUUCAUUAUAAGUGUUUAUCACAUGAUCCACUUAAUCAAACCACUGAAAGUCGGAGAAUAAGUCAUUCUAACAAGACCCUUCAGAGCUGCCUUAUAAGCUACUUACUGAUAUACUCUUCCUUGGUGAGUGUACAAUGAGUUUCCUUGUAUCCUGGUCUAUGAUACAGGAAGUUCAUUAUCCCCAGUCCAAAUUCAGACGUAAAGAAAGGAAGCAGGGCUUACAAAGAAGCGACAGAUAAUUUGCAAAGGAUUUUAGUUAGCCACUCAAAUCCCAGAUAGACUCAGACUGUAAGCUCUUCGUAAGAACAGCCUUCUGGUUUUCAGCGUUAGGCACAGAGCAGCUAUCUAUGUGGCUGGCUCUAAUAUUGUAAAAUACAGAUGACACAUGAGAAAUUAUUAGCUUCUUUUGAUUAGAGGUUAGCUAAUGGAAGCAUGUGAGAAAAAAGAGAAAUCAGAACUGAAACCAUGCUUUUAGCUGGGUGAUGGCACAUACACUGCAUAAUAGUAGCAGACCCAAUAUCUGGGCUGAUGCAAAAUGCCUUGAAAGCCUGCUAAAUCCCAGCGUGCGCUAGGGUUUGAGACACUGAGACUUGUCUGACAAGCUAGGAGCUCGCAGACAUGCUGUUUGCAACCUGUGUUUGUACACUGUACAUCUGGUAGGAUAAAAUGCAUUUCCCUGUGAUGUGCCUAGAACUGUUCUGGUUGUAGGGAGCAGGUAGGUCAAGGGCUGCUCUGCCUCCUUGAAGGCAUUCAUUUUUCUGAGCUCUGUCACAAGCGGUGUGACACCAGAUUUUCUGGCACUCACUGGAUUUUCUCACUAAUGCUGUUUCACAGACAGUAUCUCGUAAAGGCUUGCCUUCUUGCUAUCUACUAAAGACCAGUUUGGGUACCACCACAGAUGUAGGCUUGAACCAACCCUAAUGUAGAAAUGCCCUGAAUAAUUUUCCCAAGCACCACUCUGUCUCCAUAUGAUAGCGCUGCUUGGCUACACCUCUUCUUUGACCUCCCAAGCUUGUGUGAAGGCAGUACAGGGUCACACCAGACCGAAUGUUGAUUUUGUGUAGGGACGCACAGGCUGAGCCUGAUGUGGGUCUCCGGGUUAACCCUUUUUUGUACUGGAAACUGCCACUGGGGCAAGGAGCAUCGGGCAGUUCAAGACAAGCUACUCCGUAAGACAUCAAAAACAGGGAAGUGUGCAGGCCUGAGAACUAUGGGCAACAGAAACAAAAAACCCCAAGCUGGUUUGAUGGGGAUGAUGCUUUUUUUCCUAGCAUAGCUCCAGUGAAACAGGUCACAAAAUUCACGCCGUUGUCCAGGGACAGGUUUUACCAUUCCAGCAAAGCGGUGCCCUGACAAUGGCGUGAAUUUUGUGACCUGUUUCACUGGAUGCUGAAGUCCAUCCAGCCCAGAGCUUUAAAAUUCAACCUGUUGAUUUCUCCUGGGAGUAAUUAACUUCAGCCUGGAAUGAGCAAGGAGUCUGGACUGCAUCAAUCAACAGAUGUGAGGGUUUGAGAUGUGCAGUUUUCAUUCGUUGUGUUAGAGGAAACCUCUUUGUUUUCCAUGUACUUUGUACCUGGCUGUCUUGUCUUGAUGCAGCAAGAUGUCUCUUGACUGCUGAUAUACCGAUAUACCAAAUCAGUGUCGGUAUGGCCGUGUCCUCAGGAGGGACUGUGCUGCUUUAAUAGGUUGGUUUCCAACUAAUAAGUUGAAACAGGACACAAAAGCCUGGAGGAAAAUACUGUUUUGCUGUCUUUUCCCUCUUCAUUUUAAAAAUAGUAAAUGCUAAGUUAUUUUACCUCUUUUAAAAUAAAGCAUGAAGCCAAAAAAGAUGAAUCUAUGGUUAGUUUUGCUACUUCAUUGAAUUUUAUUACCGUAUAGUUCCCUUCCUCUUUCUCACUUCUUUAUCGUACUUCCUGUCUGUCUUCUCAGUUUCUAUUGUGCCUAUUUAAAGAGCCCCCACUUCAUCUCUCUUUUGGGACAGUCUUAAUGCUGGCUUUCUGCUGUUUCAGCUUCUACACAGCCGGUGCUUCAAGAAAAAAGUGCCUCUCUAGUAAGGCUGGGAGGAGAAUGGUCCCAUAAAAAUAAAUACUGUUUGUAUGCACAUAGUACUUUAAUCAAUAAGUCUCCAGUAACUUUACCUGAGUGGCCAGUUUGCUAUCGUCUCAGCUUCUUAGGUAAGGAGACUGGAGCAGAGUGAGUUGAUAACUUUCUGCUGUCUGCAGCAAUGCAGUAGUAAAGUGGCGAAUAAAACUUCUGUUUUCCAAAUGAUUUUUCAGUGCCUGACCCACUGCCCUGUACAUGGGGAAAGCCAGUACCAAGCACCUGGGAUCAUUGUUGGUAGGGAUAUCUUUAGUCUGCUGUAAAGAGAAAUGGUCACUUGUCUGCUGUGUGCUGUUAAUUUGGCAUUUGGGAACCACUAGUGCCCGUAUCGAUGCUGAGGCUGGAUCUCGGUGUCUCUGCACGACCUGCUUGGAGGGAAGAUCUGGGAGGAAGACUAUGAUGGGUGUUGUGUGCAUCUGGCUGUGUGCAUUCACACGUGUGAGUGAGAUGUACACAAUGCCCACUGAGAACUGAAGUGGUGCAACCAGAUACUAACUUGACUGGGUUUGGUCAGUGCCAAGCCAGGCUCAAUUCUCUCUCCCAGCCUAGGGAUGAAAGACUCUUUGAUGCACUUGCUGCUCCUGGACCGUUCAACUCAAUCCCCAGGAGUGUUAUCUAUUUAGAAAUCUUUCUCGCUAAAUUGCUUCUUUUGAAGACUGCAGGCUUUUUAACAGUGGACUGCAGCACCUGCUGCUUGCUGGAAAUCCUGAGGCUGGCACAUGAGAGCAUUGCAGUGCCGAACAUGCCAGUCACAAAGCAUCACAUUUAGCAGAUUUUCACUGGAGGUAGCUGAUGAAAAACAGAACAGGCAUGUUGUAAGGGCUGUCAUCCCAAGUAAAGGAAGGUGGCUUUGAAUAGAGCCUCUGAGACAGUAUUUCCAGAAUACACUUCUUUAGAAAAAAAGUGGAAAAUCCAAAGAAUGAAAUUCAGCCAGAAUGAGCUCACUGCAGGUGGUGCUGGUCAUGAUUUUUUAAAAUCAAUUUUAAUUAUUAACUAUUUUAAUCACUGUUUCUUGUUCAGUGUCUGCCAUUACAGUACCUUUUUCUUCAGCCCCAGAAAGCCCACACUUCUGUGGUUCUCUGGGGCUUUCCCACAGCAUGCAUUUCCCCCCACCUUUGAAGACUGGUACGAUACAACAGAGGACUUCAUCUGCCCAACCUGCAAACUAGGUGCUGGGAAGUUGCCUACUCCCUGGCAGGAUUUAGGCCACCCCUUUCCCCUUUCCACAACAGCCAGUCCUGCAGGGAUUUACACCCACUGGGUCCAUCUGUGUUUCUCCUGAGAUUCCCUGGAUCCAUCCAUUAGCCCCAUGGGCUUGGCGGCUGCAGAAGUUGCUGUGAAGCUCCCCUGACCUGAGGGUUAGGUGGGCAUGCAGAUGCUUGCCCUCUCCCCCUCUGGAAACGGGAGCAGUUCCUGAUACCUUUCAAUGAAGAACAAAUAGUUAAAAAAAAUCCUGCCUUUGCUUUUGGUGGCAUUUCUUCCAGUUUGCACAGAUCGGCACAACGGUGUGCAGUGCCCGGAGCUGCGACAGAGGAUACGUGCGUUUGUAUUUGUCUGGUCCCAUCUACACCAGCAAUCCCUUGAAAUGUAGCCUAGCUGGCAGAUCUGGUCAGGCUGGGAAACUUAGUUUUAGAUGAUUUUUUGUUUGUUUACAAGUGAUGUUGGCCACAGAGAGGGACACACAGCUGGUGGUCUGUGCAUGGCUCCGUGAUCAGGCUGAGGCAGGGCUCCGAGCCUGCAAAAGCUGGAGUGGGGCUGAGCUCUUCCAGCUUACUCCUGGCUUAAUUUGGAGCUGGCACUGGAGAGGCUGCUAUUCUGCUGCCUCGUCCUGCGGGCUGGCGUCUCGGAGCCUGGUUUGGCUUUGCCUGCACGGGCAGCAGCAUCCAGCACCCGUCUGCGGCCGUGGCUCAGAGCAGGCGCACGAUGGAUGCCUCUGCUUGCUCCAGACACGCAUCUCCUGCGGACCAGAGAACACCUCUCACUGUUCACAGUAACUGUUUUAAUACAAAUAUCGCACAAACACAGAUACUGUUCUUCCUUUACUAAUUAUGACAGCAUUAGACAAGGUGGGAGAGGUGCGCGUCUGAAGCCCUAGCAUCUCAGAGAGGGCUUCGCAAGUGGCUUUUGUGAGGUGUUCGUGUGCCAGCAUGGUUCCUGCUGGCUGCAGGGACCCGUGUGAGCAGCUAUUGGCACAGCUUGAGCAGAAAUGACACAGUGGAGAUUUCUGAUGACACUGAUGUGCUGCGUGCCAGCCUUGAACUUCAGAAGACCUGUGUCGGGGAGCGGGGAGGAGCAGCACUAGCCCAUCGGUACUGCAAACCCAGUAUUAAGGGAGUGCUUUCCUGCAGCAACUUCGUGAUAAAGGGUGGUGGAGGGAGAGACCGCUGAAAGCCGUGACCUUCCAGGCAGGAUCUGUUUCCCAAACACGCGUUAAACAGUGGCAGACUCCCGCAGGUGUGGGCAUGGGGGAACCUGUUAAAUUAAAGCCAAAGCAUAACAAGAGAGGUGUUUGCUUUGGAAGAUAAUGUGCACCUGUUCUGCACGCUGAGGGUGAGGAAACUCUCCGAGGCGUGUUUUCCUUUGUUACCACAGUAGACCUUUUGCACUGUGAGGCCACGUAGCUCCCCCUUCUCCCCCUCCGUUACCUUUUAAGACCAGGUAUCAUCUCCCUCAGCUUUACCAGCAUCUCCAAUCGGACAACCUAGAAGCAUGAUAAUGGUGGCAGUUGCUCCUUUUCCUCCAUCCGUACAUCUCAUUGUGGAGCUGACCAUGUCGCCAAAGUUUGCUGCCCGGACUGAUGCUGUUAUGAAGGUGCCCAGAUCUCCAGUAGCUGCAGCCUGGUCGCUGGCUGGAGUCAAAGGAAGGGCAUGCUCCUAGCAAGGUGCCCUUUGGUGGAGCUGCUCUAAUGAGCCAGCUUUGUUAUCUAUCUGCCUUGCUGCUGGUCCCAGAGAGGCUGCAGGGAGGUCUGCUGCUUUAUGUUCUUAAAUGGCACCAAAUGAUAGCAGUUAAGAGCCUACCAGGAGAAAAUGAGCUCUUAGGGCAGCAUUUCAUGUCUUGCAUGCAAGGCUUUAUUGGAUUAACUUUGUACGAGAACUGCCGUACACUUCCCUCACUGGAGAGGCCGAUCUAGCUUAACUUUGGGAUAAAAACUUUACAAUCAUAUUUUUGUCACAGAGGUGACUUGCAUAAAAAAAUCUUUACAUGGAUUAAUGUCAUCUCAGCUUUGGCAAGCCCGCAAAGCAGGCUCUGUCUCAAUGAUCUCUGUCUCUAUCUUAAUGCUGCGCUCAUCCCAGCAUUAAGUAUGUAACUCUCUUGCUUUGCUUUUUAUUUUCCACAUUAGGGACAGUGUACUUCCUCUCCCACACACCCCUUGCAAAUAUACAGGCGCUGUGAGAGAAACCCCCAGCGGUACCGUCGCCGUUCAAGCAAUGCCUUUUGCCUCUGUGGGUACCUGCCAGCCUGCGGGAGGGAGACUUGCAUACUUUCAGCUACUUCCCCAUUAUUUACACAUAAAGUUAAUAACUGACUCAAGAGUUCAUCUACAAACAUGUUUUUAGGGCUGCUCUUGGUAAAUUUUUCCCCUCUUGGCCACAAAGCUCUUGUUUUCUGUAAUUUCCUUCCUAUAUUUUCCCUUAACCCUAAUCCUUUUUGACAUUAACGCAUUAGUUUUGAAACAGCUGGUGUAUUCUCAGCCUCUUCUUCUCCCUUACCUGCUGAUUAUUUCUUUUUUUCACUGUCCUCUAUCCCUACUUUUGUUGUUUGCAAAAAAAGGCUUUUCUCCUCCCUCUCCCUCUUCACAGCUCCCACCAUCUGUCUCUCUACAAAUACAAAGCUUUAGGGGAAAUGAUUCACUAGGCUGCUAGCUCAUUACUCACACUCUCCCCAUCAUGGUUUCUGUCCUUGUAGGAUGCUCUAACUAAUGUAAAGAUCAAUGAAUCCUGGGAAUUGUUAUUCAAUUAAAAAAAAAUAAUGCCCCAGCAGUUAAAUAGAUUGGGGUCUUUGUAAUUCCUAAACACUAAUGCUUAGUUUUAAUUCCUCGCUCUGCUAGCAUUGUUUUUCAGAAAAGGAUCAUUGAAACAGAAGAAUAGAAAUGAUCACUGGACCAUUUAAUGCAACCUUGUGUAUCACAUGAUGCAGGAGUUACUUAAUGAAAUUCCCUGGCCCAAACCAAGCAAAUCUGUGGUAAAUCUAGAGCACAUAUUUUAGGAUGACAGCCAAAAUGAUGAAAGGAAUUUACUACCCAGCCUCGCUAAUCAUUUUGAAUGCUUAACUGCGCUCCCUAAUAUGCUGCUUUGCAAGCAGCAAAACCGACACAGCCUCAUGCCCUACAGAUUUCUCUCCUCCAGCCUUACCCAGACUGUGCACCCUGAAAGCCCUCCCAGCACCCUGCCAGCCCCGUCCACGCGCUGGCUGGCCAGCUGCCCACCUCUGGGAAGAGACCUCCCCUGGCCUGAACCCCCGCAGCCUCUCCCUCCGCAGCAUGCAGGUUUGGGGCUAGCUCUUUGCUCAGGUUAAGUAUUUCCAUGAAACUCGUAGGCACGUAGUAUCCUUGAGCUUCUCCCUAUUAAAUGUGGUAGAACUUGGCUAAGGGGCUCAGAAGCCAUUUGAGACAGACUAGUUCAUAGUGUUAAAAGACUUCAGAUAUCUUAAAAUACCGGAGACGGCCAUAUCGAGUUGGCAGAUACGCCAUAGCAUUUCAGGAGACUUGCUCAACCUGGAGGCUGAGCUCAAUACUGUAGGGCACUCCAAGUGACCCUAAAUGUCAAUGUUUAGAUACCCACAUCCCACUCCUUUUGUCUUCACUUUGUUGACCUUUUAAGAAGGAUUUCUGUCAUGAUUUGAGGCUUGUCACCAUAUACUAGAAAGUUAUUUUCUUAAUUGGAAGCUUAGUUUUUCAUUUUAUCACAUGGAAAAUGGAUCUCCCCUCCCCACACGCAAGUAGGUAACUAGAAGUACCACUACCUAACACAAUUUUAUUGUGCCUUGUCAAGAAGCUGCUGGCACGGUAGGUAUUAGCCUAUUUCAGUUGCUGUGCUUCCCUUUAGAAUCGGAGUUGUAAGAAGCACAGCAAAUAAAUACCUCAAUCAAAAUUAUAAGAGUUGGCAACACUGGCUACACCCUUCUCCCAGUUCUCUUAAAUGGCUGCAACUCUUUAUGCAAAAGCCUGCUAAAGGAAAAUGUGAGUAUAUCUGCAAUGUGGUUCUUCAGUUGUUUCUCAUCAGCACCACAAAGCACAUCCUGUAUCAACACACCACACUGGCAUCACCUUCAUGGAAAGCUAAUUAAAUAAUUUGGGUAAUGUAACAGGAGUAUCAACUUCUGGGCUAAUUUACUUUUGGACUGCCAAACACAUGUACUUUUUUAUAAAGCUGUGUUUGAGUCAUUCUAUAACAAAUAAUAAAGCUGAGGAGGAUCUUGGAAAGAGCCUGCAUUGAGCAGGCAUGAAGUGCUCUGUGUCAGAGCAGGACAUUCUUGUACAACUACUCUAAAGAAUAAGGGCUGCGGAAUUUUAAGAGAAUGCGGUCCACUGUUACCUCAGUAAGGUUAAGGCAGUUUUAAAAAAAGAACCCUCACCAAAGUCGUGUGCUCUGUAAAAAAAAGUUCAAAUUUUAGCAGAUGUGAUGUUGUUGAACCUUCCUGGUUGCUAACACCCCAUGGCUCUCCAACAUCUUUGAUUAUUUUAUUGUUUCAUACUGCAUACAAGUUGUAGGAGUCAAUGUUAUUUCUCUUAACAAUCGCUGGCUUUCCAAAUGCCAACUGUCCUUUGACAUGCUCUGUUUUAAAUAAGGGCCAAAGAGCAGUAAUGAAGCUAAAGGCCUGCUAUAAAAAGUACUGUAGCAUUUCACGGUACUGACAGCACACACAUAGGCAUGCGUUUAGCUCUCCUUUUGUGAACUAUUGCUGCAACAUGCUGAAGGUGUUAGGGGCCAAGCUGUAAGGAAAUGGAACUCCAGAGAUUUCAGAUCUGAGAGUCCUCUAAUUGAAGACAGUGUCUUUAUGCAAGACAGGCUAAGGAAAACUUGCGUUACCCAACAGUUACCAUUCCUCCGUUGUUCCCAGCAAUAAUAAAAGCUGACGCAAUAUAUAAGGUUGCCUUACAAAAGGCAAAUAUAUUUAAUAGUGUUUAUACAAAUUAACUGUUCGAUAAUGCUAUACAAGGCAGGAAUAUCUUUAAAGAAACCCUGAGCAAAAAGGAGGAUGUAAUUUUUAUUUUACACUUAUUGCAACAUUAUUUCUGGUAUUUGUUUGCUAUAUCGACUAAUAAAGGAAUAUGUUAAAAACAGAUGUUAAAAUAAAACUGGGCAUUCUUUCCAUUUGCAGCUUAUUUAAAAAUCUAGAGAAAAGAGUUCUGUCCCAUCAGCUUCAGAAGUAGAUGUUUAACAUGGUAGAGAACAAGUCGAGCCUGAGUUACCCAAGACAACCAAUUCCUUUUGCAGAAAGCGUGUCUUCUGUCAUCAAAAAGAGCCAUCUGGAAGAGCCUUGGCUCUCUGCCAAGAACAACCCUUUAACAACUGCUUGUCGUGCACUGUAAGUAAUAACGUUCAUAAUGGCACAACCUGGAGUGUUGGUAAAGGUCCUACUGGAGGAGCAACGUAUUCCUCCUCCCUCAGUAACCGCAAAAGGAUGUUCUUCUUAUUCUUUGGCCAGUUAUAAAUGUGAGUGUUCUGCAGCCAGGUAGGCACGUGUUCCUGAAAAACAAAUGGAAAAAAAAGCAAAAUCCCAUAAAUCCUCCUGAAUCUGUACCAGCACCUUGCAGAUUCCAUCAGACUCUGCCAAGCAAGAUUUCAUUUUGUCUGUUCUAGGCACUUCCCGUAACAACAAGAAAUUUUAAUUUGGCUUCAGAAUUGUAUUUGGGUUCCUAAAUAAAUGAACUUCGUGUGAUCUCACA